rnacentral:lncRNA from 10 species
AGAGUCAGGGUCUCAGUCUGUCACCCAGGCUGAAAGGCAGUGAUGCAAUCCUAGCUCACUGUAAUAUUGAACUCCUGAACUCAACCAAUCGUCCUGCCUCAUCCUCUCCAGUAACUAGGACCACAGUUGGCUGAAUAAUGGCCCUGCCAAGAUGCCUGCAUCUUGAUUCCCUGAACAUGUACCUUAUGGCAAAAGGGACCUUGCAGCUGUAAUUAAGUUAGGAAUUUUGAGACAUGGAGAUUGUCCUGGAUUAUCUGAAUGGCCCAAUAAAAUCACAAGUGUCCUUUAUAAAAGAAGGCAGGGGGAGAUUGAACCAUAGAAGAUGAGAGGAUGAUGGAAACUGAGGUUGCAAUAAUGCACUUUAAGAUGGAGAAAGGGGCACCAAGACAAGAAAUAGAGGCCUAGAAGCUGGAAAUGCAAGUCUAGAGGCUGGGAAAAUCAAGACACAGAUUUUCCCCUGGAGAAUCCAGAAAGAACACAGCGCAGCCAACAAAUCAAGACACAGAUUAUCCCCUGGAGAAUCCAGAAAGAACACAGCCCAGGCAACACCUUCACUUUAGGCUUCUGACAUCCAGAACUAUAAGAUAAACUUGUGCUCCUUUAAGUCAAUAAAUAUGGGGUAAUUUGUUAAAGUUUCAAUAGGAAACUCACACACUACUGCUUUAAAAGAAGGGCUGAAAUUAUAUAUUUUGGUGUUUUUCUCUUCCUCUCCUAAAUUAAAUAAUUAGUUGAACAAAUUAUCGACCUAUAUUCUGACAAUUUUUAGAGAGGGCAAGUUAGGGAUUUUAACCUUAUAAUGUUUGUGGAGUCUCUGAUCUGCAAGAAUGUGAUGAAAAAGGGAGAGGGGAUGGGGUGAGAACAUCCCACUUAACCUGUAGUUACUUAAAGUAGAAUUGCCUUAACAAAUGAGAUCGUCAUCACCCUUCCCUUUACAAAAGUGACUGAUGUCUUCAGCUGCUAUUAAUAAAUGGUGCUGGCAAUUCUACUGGGUUAUUUGUUUCAUGACCUUCCCAAUCUUCACAUUCUCUACAUCUUAAAACUUUUCACUCAUUCAUGAACACUGCCUAAUGCACCAGAACAUUGCAUUAGGUUGCUAUCUGGCUCUCUAGAUAAACAUUAAAAUAAAAGAGUCAUUAGGAAGAGGUGAAAAAGAUUACAGUAGAAAGAAAGGCCUUUUGUAAAUUGCUUUCCAAGAGCUAGGCACCAUUCCGGGAAAAUGAAGGGCACUGUUCAAUGGACUUUAACCUUCUCCUUUUGGUGGCAUAAAGUCCUUCUUUAGGACAUCAACUAUGCAAGCCAAGGAUGAAUAUUUUGCCAGAAUUUUUGCAUUAAAAUUGUAAUCACUUAAUAUUUUGAGGUUAUCCAAAGAUAUUUGAUUAUAUAGUGAUGUUAAAAUUUGCAUUUUAUGUUUAUUAUAAUUAACAGAACAAGUCUGUCGAAUAUUUCUUUUGGAACUCAUACAGCUACAUUUUUUCCAUAUAUUUGUGUCAAUAUAAGAAGAAUUCCCAUUUAGGAAAAGAAGUUGUUCUUUUAUGAGUAAAACCUAUGUUUUCAAUACUAUGACUCCUCGGAAAAUAAAUAUUCCUUACAAGAUAAGAGUGAUAGAAAUUUGGACAUGAGAAACCAAACAUUCCUUAUACAUCACCUACCCUCAAUGAAAUAAACAAAGAAAAUAAGACUUGGAAGAAAUAUUUUUAAAUGUGAAGUAAAGUGAAAUAUAAAGAGAGACAUAUAAUAUAUAUGAUUAAAUCAUGCCAUUAAUGAAUUAUUAGAGCAGAGCCAAAUUAGUUAAGUGUAUGUGUAGGCUAAGCCCUUCUUUCUCUGAUACAUUAAUCUAUAUGAAAUCAGGUUUGGAAGAGCUUGCACAUUUAUUAUAUGCUACACAGGUGUGUGUACUACCCAACUCCUAUUCUCCAUUUGACACCAUUGGUAUGACACCAUUUCAUAAACUACAAGGAAAUGGAAUCCCUAAGGAGUACUUUGGUUAGAAUUUCACAACUAGCACAUGACAGAGAUGAAAUUAGAAUCUGUCUUUUGAUGCAAAAAGUAUGCUCUUUUCUCAAGUAAGAGGUAGUCUAAAAAGCGAGUGUCAAAAGGGGAAAGGGAGUAUUCCAUUGAAAUUCUUCUUUAUGAAGUUAAUGUGGAAGGGAUAAUAUUUUGAGAUUUGUCAGAUUACUGUAUGAGUCUUGGUUCCAUGUAUGUGUGUAUCACAACUGGUGGGUCACCUGAGUUUCUCAAUGAAAAAAUCCAUCCACCAAAAAUUCCUUAUCACAAUCCCCUUUAAAAAAGGAGAAGUAAUUACAAUGGAUCUAUCAACCCAAUGAAAAUGAAUCUAUUACCAUAUGAAAAAUCUGAAAUUUACAAAAAACAUAGAACUGAUAGGUAAAUUACAUGUGCAUUUUUUUUUUUUUUUUGCUAUUUGGUAUAUGAUAUUUUCUGGGAGAAAAUUCAUGUAAUUGUUAUUUUGCAAUAGCCAAAAAGAUUAUCACUGGCCUAUGGAGACACUAUAUUGUAUUAAACAUAUAAAUAUAAUGUUAAGAAACAUUUAAGUGUGCUAGUUGCCAGAUAGAAUUCUCAGAUUUUUUAUUUGUUAUUUUUGUAUAAUGCAUGCCAACACAGUCCUCACAGUUAUUUAUGCUGUUGGGUCUGUUAUAAUCCCUAUUGUACAGAUUGAGAAACUGAGCACACAGAGGUACAGUAACUUAUACAAAGUCACCAACAUAGUGGCUGUACCUGGGAUUCAAAUCCAGGUGUCUUGGCUCCAGAGAUCUUUGUGUUAAUAUAUGCUCAAAUAUAUAAUAAUUUCUAAUACAAGUUGAGUAGAUUUUCUUAAGAUAUUAACAAUUGUUUAAAAAUGGAGAAAUAGAAAAAUGAAACUUCCUAAAGCUAAAUUAUGAUGUGAGUUUUCAGCAUAAGAGAGUCUGCUAAGGACUGAGUAGGUUA